rnacentral:rRNA from 1 species
UCAAGCGAACAAGGGCGCAGGGCGAAUGCCUUGGCACUGGGAGCCGAUGAAAGACGUGAUAAGCUGCGAUAAGCUUCGGGGAGCUGCAAAUAAGCAUUGAUCCGGAGAUUUCUGAAUGAGGAAACUCACCUGGGUUCAUACUCAGGUACGUUAUACUGAACUUCAAAAUAGGUAUAUCGAGGGAACCGCCUGAACUGAAACAUCUAAGUAGGGCGAGGAAGAGACAUCAAACGAGAUUCCGUAAGUAGUGGCGAGCGAACGCGGAAGAGGGCAAACCGAGAGUAGAAAUACUUUCGGGGUACGGACUGCUUUUAAGACUCAAUCUGUUAACCGAACGGCAUGGGAAGGCCGGUCAGAGAGUGUGAGAACCACGUAGGUGAAAACGGAGAGAGCUGCGCAGGAUCCAGAGUACGGCCAGACACGUGAAACCUGGUCGGAAUACGGGGGGACCACCCUCCAACCCUAAAUACUACCCAGUGACCGAUAGCGUAUAGUACUGUGAAGGAAAGGUGAAAAGCACCCCGGGAGGGGAGUGAAAAAGAACCUGAAACCCUGUGCCUACAAGCACCUAGAGCACGUCAAUGUGUGAUAGGGUACUUUUUGUAGAACGGUCCGGCGAGCGAUUGUAUGCAGCAAGGUUAAGGACUUAAGGUCUGGAGCCGAAGCGAAAGCGAGUUUGAAAAGGGCGUUAAGUUGCAUAUAAUGGGCCCGAAACCGGGUGACCUACCCAUGGUCAGGUUGAAGUGGAAGUAAAAUUCCAUGGAGGACCGAACCGACCUCCGUUGAAAAGGCGGCGGAUGAACUGUGGGUAGCGGAGAAAUUCCAAUCGAACCCGGAGAUAGCUGGUUCUCCCCGAAAUAGUUUUAGGACUAGCCUCAAGUUAGAUACCUGGAGGUAAAGCACUGAAUAGCCUAGCGGCCGAGAGGUUAGCGAAGCUUAUCAAACUCAGAAUGCCAGAGUAUUGAUGCUUGGGAGUCAGACAGUGUCAGAUAAAUGUCAUUGUCAAAAGGGAAACAGCCCAGAUCUACAGCUAAGGUCCCAAAGUCAGGUUAAGUGGAAAACGAUGUGAAGAUACGCAGACAACCAGGAUGUUGGCUCAGAAGCAGCCACUCAUUCAAAGAGUGCGUAAUAGCUCACUGGUCGAGCGUCUUUGCGCGGAGAAUUUAACGGGGCUAAACCUGACACCGAAGCUUAGGCAAUACAGCAAUGUAUUGGGUAGGGGAGCGUUGUAUACGCGGAGAAACAGUAGCGCAAGCGGCUGUGGAGUGUAUAGAAGUGAGAAUGCCGGAAUGAGUAGCGCGAAUGCAGUGAGAAUCUGCAUGGCCGAAAGCCUCAGGUUUCUGGAGGAAGGUUCGUCCGCUCCAGGUUAGUCGGGAGCUAAGGUGAGGCCGAAAGGCGUAGCCGAUGCACAGACGGUAGAGAUUCCGUCACCACCAAAAGAGUUAAGCACAGGGACACAUAUGAAGUCUCAGAGCCGGGUGUUGGUUCCGGUAGAGAUCGAGGGAAAUUAGUACCGAAGUCUGAGAUGGAAGAUGGCGAGAAAAGCUGUGUGUAUUUCUGAGGUGCCCGUACCGCAAACCGACACAGGUAGGUAGGAAGAAGAUUCUAAGGCCAACGGGAGAAGGGUUGUUAAGGAACUCGGCAAAUUGACCCCGUAACUUCGGGAGAAGGGGUGCUCCAGAGAUGGAGCCGCAGAGAAUCGGCCCAAGCAACUGUUUACCAAAAACACAGGUUUGUGCUAAAUCGAAAGAUGACGUAUACGAGCUGACGCCUGCCCGGUGCUGGAAGGUUAAGAGGAGAUGUGCAAGCAUUGAAUCGAAGCCCCAGUGAACGGCGGCCGUAACUAUAACGGUCCUAAGGUAGCGAAAUUCCUUGUCAGGUAAGUUCUGACCCGCAUGAAAGGCGUAAUGAUUUGGGCACUGUCUCAACAGCCCGCCCGGCGAAAUUGUAGUACCGGUGAAGAUGCCGGUUACCCGCGACAAGACGGAAAGACCCCAUGGAGCUUUACUGUAGCCUAAUAUUGGGUUUCGAUGUUGCAUGCACAGGAUAGAUGGGACACUGGGAAACAAUCGCUUUGGCGGUUGCGGAGUGGCCGUUGGGAUACCAUCCUUGCGAUAUUGGAAUUCUAACCUGCGGCUCUGAAUCGAGUCGGGGGACAUUGUUAGGUGGGCAGUUUGACUGGGGCGGUCGCCUCCUAAAGAGUAACGGAGGCGUUCAAAGGUUCGCUCAGCUUGAACGGAAAUCAAGCAAAAGAGUGCAAACGCAGAAGCGAGCCUAACUGCGAGACUGACGGGUCGAGCAGUAACGAAAGUUGGAGUUAGUGAUCCGGUGGUAUGUGAGUGGAAAUGCCAUCGCUCAACGGAUAAAAGUUACCCUGGGGAUAACAGGCUGAUCUCCCCCAAGAGUCCACAUCGACGGGGAGGUUUGGCACCUCGAUGUCGGCUCAUCGCAUCCUGGGGCUGUAUUCGGUCCCAAGGGUUUGGCUGUUCGCCAAUUAAAGCGGUACGCGAGCUGGGUUCAGAACGUCGUGAGACAGUUCGGUCCCUAUCUGUCGUGGGCGCAGGAUAUUUGAUGGGAGCUGUCCCUAGUACGAGAGGACCGGGACGGACGUACCUCUGGCGCACCAGUUGUUCCGCCAGGAGCAUAGCUGGGCAACUACGUACGGAUCGGAUAAACGCUGAAAGCAUCUAAGCGUGAAGCCGACCCAAAGAUAAGAUAUCCCAUUGUUUCAAACAAGUAAGACCCCUUGAAGACUACAAGGUUGAUAGGCACGAUGUGUAAGUGGAGCGAUCCAUUCAGCAAGCGUGUACUAAUAGGUCGAGGGCUUGACCAC